GGCAUGCGCAGCUUAACAUGCAGUCGAACGGUAACAGGGAGCUUGCUCCGCUGACGAGUGGCGAACGGGUGAGUAAUACAUCGGAACGUGCCCAGUAAUGGGGGAUAGCUCGGCGAAAGCCGGAUUAAUACCGCAUACGCCCUGAGGGGGAAAGUGGGGGACCGCAAGGCCUCACGUUAUUGGAGCGGCCGAUGGCUGAUUAGCUAGUUGGUAGGGUAAAGGCCUACCAAGGCGACGAUCAGUAGCUGGUCUGAGAGGACGAUCAGCCACACUGGGACUGAGACACGGCCCAGACUCCUACGGGAGGCAGCAGUGGGGAAUUUUGGACAAUGGGGGAAACCCUGAUCCAGCAAUGCCGCGUGUGCGAAGAAGGCCUUCGGGUUGUAAAGCACUUUUGUCAGGGAAGAAAUCCUUUGGGCUAAUACCCUAGGGGGAUGACGGUACCUGAAGAAUAAGCACCGGCUAACUACGUGCCAGCAGCCGCGGUAAUACGUAGGGUGCAAGCGUUAAUCGGAAUUACUGGGCGUAAAGCGUGCGCAGGCGGUUGUGUAAGACAGGUGUGAAAUCCCCGGGCUUAACCUGGGAAUUGCAUUUGUGACUGCACGACUAG
rnacentral:rRNA from 1 species